rnacentral:lncRNA from 13 species
AUGCUGGAGUGUCAUGUGAACAUGGCUCACUGCAGUCUUCUCCCAGGCUCAAGCCGUCCUCCCACCUCAGCCUCCUAUGUAGCUGGGACCACAGAGAUGAUGUCUUCCUAUGAGGGUUCUUAUGUUGCCCCGGCUGGUCUUGAACUCCUGGACUCAAGCAAUCCUCCUGCCUUGGCCUCCCAAAGUGCUGAGAUUACAGGUGUGAGCCAUCAUGCUUGGUCAUUACUUUUUAAACUGCAAAAUACUAUACUACUUUCAAUGACCACAAAAAUAUUUCUCUUUAUUCUUAAAAAUAUUUGCAAACAUUACAUUCUUUAAACAAAUGUAUAUAUGUUUGGAGUCUUGCUCCUGUUGCCCAGGCUGGAGUGCAAUGGCACCAUCUCGGCUCACCACAACCUCCACCUCCCAGGUUCCAGUGAUUUUCCUGCCUCAGCCUCCCCAGUAGCUGGGAUUACAGGCGCCUGCCAACCAUGCCCGGCUAAUUUUUUGAAUGUUUAGUAGAAACGGGGUUUCACUAUGUUGUUGGUUAGGCUAGUCUCGAACUCCUGACCCCAGGUGAUCCACCUGCCUCUGUCUCCCAAAGUGCUGGUAUUACCAGUGUGAGCCACCAUUCCCGGCCAAACAAACAUUUUUAUAUAUAAAAAAAAAAUUGUGAUAAAACUUAUAAGAACUACUACUCAUCAUUUUAACCUUUUUUUUUUUUUUUUUUUUUUUUUGAGUCGGAGUUUCUCUCUUGUUACCCAGGCUGGAGUGCAAUGGCGCGAUCUCGGCUCACUGCAACCUCCACCUCCUGGGUUCAGGCAAUUCUCCUGCCUCAGCCUCCUGAGUAGCUGGGAUUACAGGCACGCGCCACCAUGCCCAGCUAAUUUUUUGUAUUUUUAGUAGAGACCGGGUUUCACCAUGUCCACCAGGAUGAUCUCGAUCUCUUGACUUCGUGAUCCACCCACUUCGGCCUCCCAAAGUGCUGGGAUUGCAGGCGUGAGCCACCACGCCCGGCCCCAUUUUUACCAUUUUUAAGUGUACAAUUCAGUGGCAUGAAUUACAUUCUCAGUGUUGUGCAACCAUCACUAUUAUCUAUUUCCAAAGUAUUUAGAUUUUUUUAUCACGAAGUAGUAUUAAAAAUGGUCAAGGAGGCCUGGUGUGGUGGCUCAUGCCUUUAAUCCCAGAACUUUGGGAGACCGAGGCAAGUGCUUCACUUGAUAUCAGGCAUUAGAAACCAGCCUGGCGGCCGGGCGCGGUGGCUCAAGCCUGUAAUUCCAGCACUUGGGGAGGCCGAGGCGGGUGGAUCACGAGGUCAAGAGAUCGAGACCAUCCUGGUCAACAUGGUGAAACCCCAUCUCUACUAAAAAUACAAAAAGUUAGCUGGGCAUGGUGGCGCGUGCCUGUAAUCCCAGCUGCUCAGGAGGCUGAGGCAGGAGAAUUGCCUGAACCCAGGAGGCGGAGGUUGCGGUAAGCCGAGAUUGCACUCCAGCCUGCUCUCCAGCCUGGGUAACAAGAGCGAAAACUCCGUCUCAAAAAAAAAAAAAGAAACCAGCCUGGCCAAAAUGACAAAACCCUGUCUCCACUAAAAAUACAAAAAUUAGUCGGGCAUGGUGGUGUUUGCCUGUAAUCUCAGCUACUCGGGAGGCUGAGGCAGGAGAAUCACAUAAACCUGGGAGGUGGAGGUUGCAGUGAGCUGAGAUUGCACCACUGCACUCCAGCCUGGGUGACAGCAAGAUUCCAUCUUCAAAAAAAUUUUUUGAGUAAAAAUAAAUAAAAAUAAAAAUGGUCA